ACUAGUGUUCCAAAAGAAAUUUGUAUGUCUUUUGAAACAGCUAGCUUCAGGGUUUCUUCUUCUCGAAAUUUCCCUUCUCCAUGAUCCUUCACCGUAGUUACGAUCCAUCUUCUUCUUCUACAAAAAAAAUUCAAUUCUUUCUUUCCGCUAAACUUUCCACCAUCACCUUCCACUUCACAAAUAUAGGUAGAAUCUGGGUCAGUUCCCUGAAAUAUUGUCGCCGGCGUCGAUGUCGCUGAAAUCGCCUGGGCUUUUCUAGAAACCGCAGACAACGUCGUUUUGGCACGACUUGAGCCCGUUUUGGUCAACUCACAGCUUCGUCUCAAGUUUGUUGGGGGCAGCUCUCUGCCGCCACGAUUUCUCCGUUGCCGUCUCCGGACAUCUUCAAUCGUGGCAACCUGUGCAGAGCCCUUCCGAACGAGCAGCUGCGAAGCGUGGGUUUUAGCAACCCCUGCUUAGCAAUCUUUCGGUGCCGCCGUUCCCUCAACAUUCUCCGCCAAACUCGCUGCCAAACUCACCGGUGCAGAAGGAGACUGGUACAGGGGCCGGUACGGGGAAGAAGGAGAUGACAAAAUCGUCUUUUAAUCAAGUCUAGGGAGUGCAGGAAGAAGAAAUGGAGGUGCAGGAAAAAACAGCCGAAAGCAUGAGUUUGAGGAUGCAACUCAGUCCAGUACAAGAUAAAAGAAAAAACAAUGGACAUAUACCUCUAACUUUCUCUCACCCCUCUCAAGCAAAAACCAGAGAAUGAGGAGAAAAUAAGAAAAAUUAAGACUAUUACUCUCCUCUUAUUAUCUAAUCAAACUUCAAUAGUUUAUUUUCAAACCCACUCAACAGCAACAUUUUAAUAAAGUGAGCGUAGUUGUUCAAAUGUUCUAAUAGACUCAUUUUGACCAGUUCAUGCCAACAAUAUUUUAUUUGGUAGAUAGUUAGAUAUUUUUGGUAUAUGUUACCCGUGUUAUUCAUGCGAUUAAAUGGCGUCUUAGUCAUUUACCUACCGUUGGCAUUUGAAUUUCUUUGUCCAAAUAUUUAAGAUCAUAUUUCUUUUGGUAUCAUAUAGAAAAUGUUGUAUAUUGUUCAAGGAUCCUGUCUCUCACGCGUGUCUUUCAGGUAUUAUCUACAAUGGUUCAAGCUGGAAGCUAUUUUAGCAGGAUUUACUGUGGAUAAAGUUACUCCAACGAUGAUUCACCCUAGAAAGAAUAUGCAUUGGAGAAGAAACAAAAUGACGCAUUCGCUGAACUUCCCAUUUAAAAUUUUAUUUAUGCUUCAUAUGAAGUAGGAUGAGGAUGCCACGAACCUUUGCAGCCCAUUUCUGUAUACCGCCGGUAAACCAGCGAGUUCAGUUUCUUAACCCCACCCCAGCAUGCAUUUUGGAGUUUUGAUGUUUGAUGUUCAGUCUCACGGAGGGCUGUCUUUUCACCACCAUUACAAUUGAAAUGGCCCCAAUGAAUCCAAUUCUGGGAAGGUAAUGAUACAUUUGGAGGUAUUCGGAAAGAUCUGCCAGAACCACCAACAAUUUUAUCAUGCAUUUUUUCCACUUCUUUGCACACUAGAUCCAAAAUACUCAGAAAGUCUCUCACAAUCAUGAAAAUUCUGAGAGGGUGGGCUUCUUCCUUUGCUGCAUUCCCAUGAAAGUAUUCGGUGACUUCUUUUACAAGAGCCUUUAAUUUUGGUUUGGCUCCAUCCCUGUCAUUGGCUUGAAGCCUCUCGGAAGAACUCACACUCUGUUCAACCUCUUCUGAACCUUUCGUCACACUACCUUCAAUUGGUGACAAAGACUGCCUCUUUACAGAUGCAGAAUUAGAGGAGACACUAACAGCCGGAGACUCUGAUUUUCGCGGCGGCGGUGGAGGAGGCGGAGGUGGAGGUGGUGGAGGAGGAUUGAGUAAAGUAUUUGACACGUGCGAAACAGUGUCGGUUGUUGACUGAAGAUGCUUCAAAUUCGGAGGUGGGGGAGGCGCCGAAAAUUUCGGCUUUCUGGAAUGCUUAGGUAGCGGCGGCGACGGUGGAGGGGGCUGCUUUAUCGACGGAAUGAUGACACGGCGUAUCUCCGGCGAGGGUGCCGAAACGCGUGACUUGGGCGAAGUUCUCUUGGAAAACGGAACAACGGGUGUGGGCGUGGAAUUCGUGUCACGCUUCGCGGGACUACCGUUGACAAGAGAGCUCUGCCGCGAAGCCGGCGUGUAGUACCCAUCGACCGACGAGUUCUGCGGCGAGUGAAACACCGUGCCGCGGCUUUCCUCAUCGGACUCCGAUGAGGAGGAGACCGCCGGCGGGUAGUUUCCGUCGGGAGGCUUACUGAGCGGUGGCAUUGGCUGCAACUCAGGACUUGGACGGUAGCGAUCGGAUCGCUUGAGCUUGUGAUACGGCGAUCUGUUGGCCUUAUUAACAUCUCUGUUGUCUCGCGAGUCGUUGGUAGAGGCUCGCGUGGGUUCCACUGUCCCAAUGUAGAGGAAACUCGACGGUGGCGCAGUUGAAUCAACCUCGUUUCUGUUUGAGAUAUGGCUAUUGUUAUUGGUAUUCCCACUCCCAGCGACCAGUUUCUGAGACUCCACCGGGUGUUUGGCUCUGUGUUUGUACAAAAAGAAGGCCAACGCUGAUAGCAUUCCAAGGGUCACAAUCCCCACUGAGAUCGCGAUUGCUACCUUCUUUGUUCCCUUUGCGGGUUGUGUUGCAGUUGGGUUUGCAAUUGAAGUGUUGGAAUUGGACGGGGCUGCUUGGCUCUGAUCCGGUGGGGGCCCCGCCGGGUACUCGUGGAAGAAGGGGAUGUUUCCGCCUUCCGGCGAUGGAGGACUCUCCACCGGAAGUGGUGGCGGUGGUGCCGAACUCGCCGGGAACAAUGGCUGGUGCAGAAUUCUUCUUGUACCAGAUUCAUUAGCGCUGGUAUUACUAUUGACCCUUUUUGCAGUGUUGACUGGUAUGGAUAGGAAGAGGAACAGUGUGAGGAGGAUGAUGUAGAAGUAGAAGAAGCUCAAGUGAGGAGCUUUCAUGGCGAAUUAUCGUGGGGUUCGCUUGUUACCUUUUGUUUCACCCAAUUCAUGUCUGGGUUUCGUUUCUUUCCCGCAAAUUCCUCUCCUCGAAAUAAGAGAGAGAAAGAGAGUGUGUGUGUGUCUGAAAAGAGAGAGAGAGAGAGAGAGAGAGAGAGAGAGAGAGAGAGAGAGAGAGAGAGAGAGAGAGAGAGAGAGAGGAAACUUCUUUCGGCUGUAAUGUAAGAUCUGGAUGCUACAAAGCUUCCGUCAGCAGGAGCCGUUUUUAUUUUAUUUUUUUUAUGUUUUUUACUUUAAUCUUUUUUUAAUUUAUGUCAUUCUCAAGUGCAAUGUUGUUUCUAAAUUUUACUAAAUUAUGAAUUUACGGUGUAGUAAACGAAGUCAAUGAAUAGAGAGGAAAGAUUAUAACCAUUA